rnacentral:rRNA from 1 species
UUUCGAAUCAUUCACAAUGGGCGAAAGCCUGAUGGUGCGACGCCGCGUGAGGGAUGAAGGCCUUCGGGUUGUAAACCUCUGUCACCGGGGAAGAAACGCUUCAAGUUAACAGCUUGAAGCCUGACUUAACCCGGAGAGGAAGCAGUGGCUAACUCUGUGCCAGCAGCCGCGGUAAUACAGAGACUGCAAGCGUUAUUCGGAUUCACUGGGCGUAAAGGGUGCGCAGGCGGCCGGGUGUGUCAGAUGUGAAAUCCCGAGGCUUAACCUCGGAACUGCGUCUGAAACUACUCGGCUAGAGUAUUGGAGAGGGUAACGGAAUUCACGGUGUAGCAGUGAAAUGCGUAGAUAUCGUGAGGAACACCAGAGGCGAAGGCGGUUACCUGGACAAUUACUGACGCUCAGGCACGAAAGCAUGGGGAGCAAAAGGGAUUAGAUACCCAAGUAGUCCC